rnacentral:lncRNA from 1 species
CCAUCCUAUAAUGCCUUUGUCAAAGAAUCGAAACAAAAGAUGAAUGCAAGGAAAAGGAGGGCUCAGGAAGAGGCCAAAGAAGCAGAAAUGAGCAGAAAGGAGUUGGGGCUUGAUGAAGGCGUGGAUAGCCUGAAGGCAGCCAUUCAGGUUUUAGCAUCAAGACUCUGCUGACCUUAUUAUGAACUGAAUUGAGAAGUAUUCCUUAUACUUUUUGGAAAAAAGUUUGCAUCAUUGUUAUUUCUUCCACAAAUGGAUGAGAGAAUUCACCUGGGCCUAGAGCUUUCUCUGUGUGAGAACUGUUUCAUUUAAUUUCUUGAAUAAUUUUACAAUAAUCCACAAAUAUAAUAACCUUAUAAAAGUAU